rnacentral:lncRNA from 1 species
AGAGAGAGAGAGAGGUGUAGUUGGCUUUUAAUUUUUAACUAACACGGUAAGAUUUCUUAGUUGGUCCGAAGACGAUAUCACAAUUUUUUGGGGAUUAAUAUUGGGCAUAAUUUAAGAAAAUCACCAUUAAAAUUAAAAUAUAGCAACUAUUUAUUUUUAUGAUAUUGGACAUAAAUUAGCAAAUCACCAUGAAAUUUAAAAUAUAGCAAAUAUUUAUAUUUAUGACUAGGAUAUCUUCACUACUACAAAAAAA